rnacentral:rRNA from 1 species
UACAGAGGGUGCAAGCGUUAAUCGGAUUUACUGGGCGUAAAGCGCGCGUAGGUGGCCAAUUAAGUCAAAUGUGAAAUCCCCGAGCUUAACUUGGGAAUUGCAUUCGAUACUGGUUGGCUAGAGUAUGGGAGAGGAUGGUAGAAUUCCAGGUGUAGCGGUGAAAUGCGUAGAGAUCUGGAGGAAUACCGAUGGCGAAGGCAGCCAUCUGGCCUAAUACUGACACUGAGGUACGAAAGCGUGGGGAGCAAACAGG